AUUUCGACCAUAAGGCACGCGGUGAAUGCCAAGAGCGGACGAAACUCUACUAUCAAAAGCAGCAAACGACGCCAAAAGUGUGUUACAAAAUGUGAAAUUUCAUCUAGCAAGUAGCAUUUGGGAGGAAACUACACAAGUAAUCCAAACUACGUACAUAAUAAUGCUUUUCUGCAGAACUUUUGGAUUAGCAAACGGUUUUAUUAUCAAAAGAAACGCAAUUUGGAUAAGGAUUAUUAUUGUUUAACUGCAUCCAACCUAGAUGCUUACAAUGUUGCAUUCCCAAUUUCGGAACUUAGAGUAUUUAGAUGCAUCGAAUAUACAUUUGAUAUUUGAUAAAAAAUUACGUUUCUGGUAUAGUAAAUCUGAGUGUUCAGUGAGGAAUAAAAGCUAACAUUUUUCGUUGAAAAAGAAAAGAUAUUUUUCCAUAAUAACGUUAAAGGGGCAUUGACAU
rnacentral:lncRNA from 1 species